rnacentral:rRNA from 1 species
GGACUACAGGGGUUUCUAAUCCUGUUUGCUCCCCACGCUUUCGCGCCUCAGCGUCAAUCACAGACCAGGCAGCCGCCUUCGCCACUGGUGUUCCUCCAUAUCUCUACGCAUUUCACCGCUACACAUGGAAUUCCACUACCCUCUUCUGCAUUCAAGAAAACCAGUUUCCAAUGACCCUCCCCGGUUGAGCCGGGGGCUUUCACAUCAGACUUAAUCUUCCGCCUGCGCGCUCUUUACGCCCAAUAAUUCCGGAUAACGCUCGCCACCUACGUAUUACCGCGGCUGCUGGCAC